rnacentral:lncRNA from 1 species
GACCGUGCAGAACUUCGAUACACUGUUACCAAAUGUCGUUAUACAGUAACCACUCAUCGUCAAGAUGGUAAUAACGUACAUACUGUCUCCGUCGAAAUAGGAACGGAAAAUCAUUUUCCAGGUAAGUUAGUAAUUCUUUUCUUUUGGAAUUAAAACUUUAUAGAUCCUAAAUUAUUAUCGACAUCCCGCUCAUACAUAUUAAAUAGAAAGCGGGUAUCAUGUACUUAUGUUUACUAUGAACUUUGCUUAGCUUGAACGAAUGCUAGUUGCACAGGAGAGAAGCAAAAAAUGGCAGUAGUGGGUAUAAUUGUAACGUCAGAUGAAGAUGAUUGCAUAUGCGUCAUAGGUUGUGACACUUACAGCAACAACAAACCCAAGGGAAAGUGGGUGCAGUGCCAAGAAUGUAGGCAGUGGGCAUAUAUCACCUGUGUUGCAAGACCUGUGGAUACUACAUUUAUUUGUCAGAACUGCGAGAGCAAGAUGAGUGACAGUAUGUAGAAUUACAUUAUUGAUAAGCUUUAAUCCAAACCACUGAAUCCUAAAUAUCUGUAUUUUUGUUAUUAAUAUUUCCUUUGCAAUUUUUUUAAUAAAAAUCUUUGUGAGAGACCACUUUUUCUGAGCCUUCUGUCUUUAUAUAGAUUUGUUACAACUUUCUCUACUUGAUGUUACAACUAUACCCA